rnacentral:rRNA from 1 species
GAUCCUGGCUCAGAUUGAACGCUGGCGGCGUGCUUAACACAUGCAAGUCGCGCGUGAAAGGACUUCGGUCCGAGUAAAGCGGCGCACGGGUGAGUAACGCGUGGAUGAUCUACCCAUGAGUUAGGAAUAACGGCUGGAAACGGUCGCUAAUACCAAAUACGCUCCGAUUUCAACUUCGGGGGAAAGGUGGCCUCUGACUUGCAAGCUACUGCUCAUGGAUGAGUCCGCGUCCCAUUAGCUAGUUGGUGGGGUAACGGCCCACCAAGGCGACGAUGGGUAAGCCGGUCUGAGAGGAUGACCGGCCACACUGGGACUGGAACACGGCCCAGACUCCUACGGGAGGCAGCAGUGGGGAAUAUUGCGCAAUGGGCGAAAGCCUGACGCAGCGACGCCGCGUGAAGGGAUGAAGGUCCUCGGAUCGUAAACCUCUGUCAGGAGGGAAGAACCGCCACGGUGCUAAUCAGCCGUGGUCUGACGGUACCUCCAAAGGAAGCACCGGCUAACUCCGUGCCAGCCGCUGC